GACGAACGCUGGCGGCGUGCUUAACACAUGCAAGUCGAACGAAGUGGCGAACGGGUGAGUAACGCGUAAUCAACCUGCCCUUCAGAGGGGGACAACAGUUGGAAACGACUGCUAAUACCGCAUCCUGCAGGAGGGGCUUGCGUCUGAUUAGCUCGUUGGAGGGGUAACGGCCCACCAAGGCGAUGAUCAGUAGCCGGUCUGAGAGGAGGAACGGCCACAGGGGGACUGAGACACGGCCCAGACUCCUACGGGAGGCAGCAGGUGGGAAUCUUCCGCAAUGGACGAAAGUCUGACGGAGCAACGCCGCGUGAGUGAUGACGGCCUUCGGGUUGUAAAGCUCUGUUAAGCGGGACGCGGUACCGGAAUAGAAAGCCACGGCUAACUACGUGCCAGCAGCCGCGGUAAUUC
rnacentral:rRNA from 1 species